rnacentral:rRNA from 1 species
GUGGGGAAUAUUGGACAAUGGGGGAAACCCUGAUCCAGCGACGCCGCGUGUGUGAAGAAGGCCUGCGGGUUGUAAAGCACUUUCGGUGGGAACGAAAUAUGCCGGGCUAAUACCCCGGUAGGCUGACGUUACUCAAUGAAGAAGCACCGGCUAACUCUGUGCCAGCAGCCGCGGUAAUACAGAGGGUGCGAGCGUUAAUCGGAAUUACUGGGCGUAAAGCGCACGUAGGUGGCUAUGUAAGUCGGGUGUGAAAUCCCCGGGCUCAACCUGGGAACUGCAUUCGAGACUGCAUGGCUGGAGUACGGAAGAGGAGGGCGGAAUUCCCGGUGUAGCGGUGAAAUGCGUAGAUAUCGGGAGGAACAUCAGUGGCGAAGGCGGCCCUCUGGUCCAGUACUGACACUCAAGUGCGAAAGCGUGGGGAGCAAACAGGAUUAGAAACCCCAGUAGUCC